AUAAACCACAUAAUCCUAUGGUAAAUGCUGGAGCAAUUGUUGUGACUUCACUAAUAAAGCAAGGAGUAAAUAAUGCUGAAAAAUUUGACUAUGUCAUGCAGUUUUUGAAUAAGAUGGCUGGUAAUGAAUAUGUUGGAUUCAGUAAUGCAACGUUUCAGUCUGAAAGAGAAAGUGGAGAUCGAAAUUUUGCAAUAGGAUAUUACUUAAAAGAAAAGAAGUGUUUUCCAGAAGGCACAGACAUGGUUGGUAUAUUAGACUUCUACUUCCAGCUGUGCUCCAUUGAAGUGACUUGUGAAUCAGCCAGUGUGAUGGCUGCGACACUGGCUAAUGGUGGUUUCUGCCCAAUUACUGGUGAAAGAGUACUGAGCCCUGAAGCAGUUCGAAAUACAUUGAGUUUGAUGCAUUCCUGUGGCAUGUAUGACUUCUCAGGGCAGUUUGCUUUCCAUGUAAGUAAUUGUUUAAUCUUAUUUUCUCUGGCAAGAAACUAGUCUGAACUGGUUCUUUUAAAAAUGCAGUUUGAACUUUGCUUCUAAAGCUGUAUAUUAAUUUUUGAGAGAGAGGCUUGUUUUCAAGGU
rnacentral:sRNA from 1 species